GACGAACGCUGGCGGCGUGCUUAACACAUGCAAGUCGAACGGAAAGGCCCUGCUUUUGCGGGGUGCUCGAGUGGCGAACGGGUGUGUAACACGUGUGUAACCUGCCCUUGACUUUCUGAUAACUUCAGGAAACUGCGGCUAUUACCGCAUAUGAGCUCCUGCUCCAUGGGGGGGGUUGGAGAGUUUCGGCUGUUGGGGCUGGACUCGCUGCUUAUCCGCUUGUUAGUGGGGUAGUGGCUUACCAAGGGUUUGACGGGUAGCCGGCCUGAGAGGGUGAACGGCGACCUUGGUACUACGAUACGGACCAGAAUGCUACGGGAGGCAACAGUGGGAAGUCUUGCACAACGAGGGGACGCGUGAUGCAGCAGCGCCGCGUGCGUGAUGCUGGCUUUCGGGUUGUAAACCGCUUUCGAAUGUGACGAAGCGUGAGUGACGGUAACGGGUCAAGAAGCACCGGCUAACUACGUG
rnacentral:rRNA from 1 species